ACCAAUCAGACCAAGGCGGUUCCUUUGUGCUAUUCAAAUACCGAACGGACCCCGGGCCUCCAACGCCGCUGCUGCCUCGAAUGUUCUCCUGGGGCCGCGGCACCGCGUGGGACUCGGAGCUUCCUAGGUAGCCGCCCACAGCGUCGGUCGUCUCUCGGGAACCACGUUGAGGACUGCGGCUACCCUGGACCUGGCUCCCGCGAGCUGGGGGUCGGCUCACCUGAGCGCCGCGGAGAUGGCUCCGCCCCCUUCCGCACCGUUGGGCCUCACCUGCAGCAGGUGCGCGCGGUUCCCCGCUCCGGGCCACGCGGCGCCUCCUCUUUCUCACCUGCUAAGGCCAGGGGAAUCUGGGAGAGCACUGGACCCAGACUUCCCAGGAACCCAGGGUCCUAGGUUGUGGUUUAGCUGCCACUGAAAGCAAGGAAAAAAUGAAGGUAGAGACUCCAAGCUCUGGGUUCUGGAGGAAGAGCUCUCAGGAGGCUGUGUGAGACACUCAAAUACUUCACAAGCAGAAACUGGGCGAUGGUGUUGCCAUUGUGACUGGUAAAUAAUAAAUAAUAUUGCUAUUCCUGAUGGGCCUCCCA
rnacentral:lncRNA from 1 species